rnacentral:rRNA from 1 species
AUACGUAGGGGGCGAGCGUUGUCCGGAAUUAUUGGGCGUAAAGCGCGCGCAGGCGGUCCCUUAAGUCUGAUGUGAAAGCCCACGGCUCAACCGUGGAGGGCCAUUGGAAACUGGGGGACUUGAGUGCAGAAGAGGAGAGCGGAAUUCCACGUGUAGCGGUGAAAUGCGUAGAGAUGUGGAGGAACACCAGUGGCGAAGGCGGCUCUCUGGUCUGUAACUGACGCUGAGGCGCGAAAGCGUGGGGAGCAAACAGGAUUAGAUACCCUGGUAGUCCACGCCGUAAACGAUGAGUGCUAAGUGUUAGAGGGGUCAAACCCUUUAGUGCUGUAGCUAACGCGUUAAGCACUCCGCCUGGGGAGUACGGCCGCAAGGCUGAA